rnacentral:lncRNA from 13 species
CUCUAAACUAAACCAUUACUCUAAACCAUUACUCUAAACCAUUACUCUAAACUAAACCAUUACUCUAAUCCAUUACUCUAAACUAAUCCAUUACUCUAAACCAUUACUCUAAACUAAACCAUUACUCUAAACCAUUACUCUAAACUAAACCAUUACUCUAAUCCAUUACUCUAAACUAAUCCAUUACUCUAAACCAUUACUCUAAACUAAACCAUUACUCUAAAAACGUCUGUUUUCUUUUGUUUCUAUGUAAACUGUCCAUACGGUCAUCAUCUAUAAACUCUGGGCUCCUCUCCUGACCAGCAUUUGAGAUUUCCAUUCCUGUUAUAAUACCCAUUUUUCUUGUUUAUCUGUCGCUCCGUCUCUUCGGUCUCCAGACAGCCAUAGCCAGUAGGGUGACCUGCAGGGUGCUGGCCAUGGACCUCAGGGGUCACGGUUCCACCCAGGUACGUCAGUCAGACGACCUCUCCACACAGACCAUGUCCAGGUAAGAAGAUACACACCUGUAAAACAUGAGGAAAUAACUUCCUGUCCCUCUACCUCUCACCUGUACAUCACCUUUCCCUCUACCUCUCACCUGUCCCUCUACCUCUCACCUGUCCCUCUACCUUUCACCUGUCCCUCUACCUCUCACCUGUCCCUCUACCUCUCACCUGUCCCUCUACCUCUCACCUGUACCUCUUACCUGUCCCUCUAACGCUC